ACUCGAGUGGCGAACGGGUGAGUAACACGUGGGUGAUCUGCCUUGCACUUCGGGAUAAGCCUGGGAAACUGGGUCUAAUACCGGAUAGGACCAUGCUUUAGUGUGUGUGGUGGAAAGUUUUUCGGUGCAAGAUGAGCCCGCGGCCUAUCAGCUUGUUGGUGGGGUAAUGGCCUACAAAGGCGACGACGGGUAGCCGGCCUGAGAGGGUGUACGGCCACAUUGGGACUGAGACACGGCCCAG
rnacentral:rRNA from 1 species